GGUGAGGUGCCUGAGAGGCCGAAAGGAACGGUUUGCUAAACCGUCGUACGCCAAAAGUGUACCGAGGGUUCGAAUCCCUCCCUCACCG
rnacentral:tRNA from 2 species